GUAGGUGAACCUGCGGAAGGAUCAUUAAAGAGUAAGGGUCUAACCGGCCCGAACCUCCAACCCUUUGUCGUUUAAAAAACACCUUGUUGCUUUGGCGGGACGGCCGACUCGCGUCGGCCGCCGGUCUUCGGCCCGGAGAGCUCCCGCCAGAGUCAUACCAAACUCUUGUUUUAACCAGUCGUCUGAGUAAAAAUUUUAAAUAAAUUAAAACUUUCAACAACGGAUCUCUUGGUUCUG
rnacentral:misc_RNA from 1 species